rnacentral:rRNA from 1 species
UACGAAGGGGGCUAGCGUUGUUCGGAAUUACUGGGCGUAAAGCGCACGUAGGCGGAUUUGUAAGUCAGGGGUGAAAUCCCGGGGCUCAACCUCGGAACUGCCUUUGAUACUGCAAGUCUUGAGACCGGAAGAGGUGAGUGGAAUUCCUAGUGUAGAGGUGAAAUUCGUAGAUAUUGGGAAGAACACCGGUGGCGAAGGCGGCUCACUGGCCCGUUUCUGACGCUCAGGCACGAAAGCGUGGGGAGCAAACAGG